UACGUAGGGUCCGAGCGUUGUCCGGAAUUACUGGGCGUAAAGAGCUCGUAGGUGGUUUGUCGCGUUGUUCGUGAAAACUCACAGCUCAACUGUGGGCGUGCGGGUGAUACGGGCAGACUAGAGUACUGCAGGGGAGACUGGAAUUCCUGGUGUAGCGGUGGAAUGCGCAGAUAUCAGGAGGAACACCGGUGGCGAAGGCGGGUCUCUGGGCAGUAACUGACGCUGAGGAGCGAAAGCGUGGGGAGCGAACAGG
rnacentral:rRNA from 1 species